CGGUAUUUGCAUGCUGCUGUGUGUUAUGGGAAGUCGCCGUGAGCGAGAAGGGCCGUGCGGGCGGCACUUUAUAAGCGGCGAGAGGGCUGCGCUGCGCAGGGCGGCGGGAAGCUCAGCGGUGGGGCCACGCGCGGAGUGCGCGUCACUCUCUCGGCCCCUGGGAAGGUCUGAGACUCGGGCCAGCAGCGGCCCUAGCAGGGCCCUCCCCGCGCGCGGGGGGGUGAGUUCCCAGAGAGCGGGCCCCGGAGAGGGCCUUCGGGCAGGAGAGGCCGCGCGCGCGGCGGAUGCCCCCUCCCCGGGGCUUGGAAUAGACUCACGGCCGGCACGGUGAGUUCAAUGGCUGGGCCGGGGCACCCGAGCAGGCCGGCGUCGGGCCGCGGGGCUCCGGAACCCAAUUCAGACUACUCUCCCCCGCCCGCUUUUGCCCCCCCGACCCCGCCCUGGCAUGGGGGCGUCCUAGACGCGCUGAGUCUGAGUCUUCCUUUCUUCUAUUUCUACUUUAGAAGUACUAUCUCCUGGAGGAGCGAGGAGAGCGCGCAGGAGCGGGGUGUGCGUGCAUGUGUGUGCGCGUGUGUAAGGGGGUUCCUCGCCGGGUGGGGCCGCGCCUGGCCUGGGCCGAAGCCACACGCUUGACCUCCCGGGUGCCCUUAGCCCUUAUUUAUUCCUGAGAGACAG